UUGGAGGAUUCUGGAGCUCGCUCAGUUUUACCCUUGGAAGUAGACUUGAUUCUAGUCCAGACUUUGUUUUUUGACCAUUGCCUCCAAAGAAAAAGUCAUUACACAGCUACAGUAGAAUAUUCAUUCCCUGGACCUUUUUAUAGAAUUCACUGGGGCAAAGGUUUUCUCGUCAAACCAGAUGAUUAUAACGAGCACAGAAGAGGCUGGAAUCUCUUCUCCAGACUGUGGCUGCACACGCACAUCAGAUUUUCACAGCCUCUUUGGCUGCUUCUCAAGCUGGCAUCUACAUGGCCAUACAGAGCUGUCUUCCACAUCCUUUAUUUUGGGGUAAGUAGAGCCCAUUUCCACUGUUUGCUGACUUUUUUUUUUCUCUCUGAGCUUCUUAUGUUUUUAAUGGUAUUCACUCUUGCUCCUCAGUCUCAAGGGUCCUCAUGCUCCAUUCUCUGCCUGUUUUCAAAGUCUAAAUCUCAAGUAAGAAUCUAAAAUGUGUAUACCCAUAUACAUAUAGGGCCAGCACUUUUCCUUUCUUUUCUCACUCAGAAAUUAGACAGUCUGUGGAUGGGAGAUGAAUCGGCCUUUAAUUUAUGCUGUCAAGAUAGUUUCCUGAUCCACCUAUGGAUUUCUUGACCAGGUCAGUACUGCUGGUGAGAACAUGCACCUCUGAGGCCCUGAGAUAAACUGGACUAAUAACCCAUGGUAUCAUCUGAUAACUGUGCCCUCCUCCUUCUGGAACCUUUUCUUGUCUCUAAAAUAAGAGUGUUGUGCUAGGUCUGGCUCACACCUUUGUGACAUUCUGUAAUUUACAAUGAUUGCUUUCUAGCCUGUCUAGCAUCUAGAACAGGAAGUCCUGGCAAGUAACUUGUAUCAUAUACAGGAUUUUCUUUGAUCAGUGAUAUACAUAAGUGAACAGAUGUACAGAUAUAAAAAAGGUGUGAUCAGCCACAUUAGGUUUAUUCUGUACAUCAGUGGAGUGAGCACAAGAUAGGUAGAGCCUCCCCCAAACCAACUUGUCUAUGGAUGAUUGAAAUGGCUUUAACAAGAAACAGAAUUUUCACUUGAUGGGUUGAAAAUCAGCUAAGGAGAGGAGAGAGACUUCAGACUUCAGUAUUUGCACAUCAUGCAACUCAUACCUGCUUAGGAUCCCCAUUAAUAGGGCAGGCCAGCUGGACACUUUUCUGGAGCACUAGUGUAUAAACAUCAUCAGAAUAAAAUGAGUAAAUGUAUUUCUACUCCUCCUGAC
rnacentral:lncRNA from 12 species